CUAUUUAUUAUUGCAUAUCAUAUAGCCUUCUUCAGUACUAAUAUAUGUAUUUCAUGUCUUAUGUAACCUUUAACUCAUGGGGUGGUGGUGGUGGUGGUUGUUGUUGAGGUAUGAUAACAGUGAAUUUCCUGAGUUUGCUGUAUUUAGAAUCUUAAAUAUGUUAAUGCAAAGUAGUUAUGUGUAAGUAGAUAAAUGCCUUCCACUAUAAUGGCUUUGGUGCUUGUCCAUUUGCUUUUAAGAGCACUAAAUAAAUUUACAAUUUUAGUUUGUGCCUUCUUGAUUAAAUAUAUAAAUAUAAUUUUUAAAAAAUUCUAAGUAUAAUUGCAACUGACCUGGCUUAUAUACUAUUUUGUGUUGAUUUUUUUUCAGAUCCUUAUUGACAAUGGUGAUCUCUGGAGGUAUAAAUACUGAAGAAUAUGUCAUUUACAGAGAAGAUCUUUGAAAUCUGUUUCCUUUAGACAGCAAAAGAAGAAGAGGUGUUUUCACAACAAAACAGACAAAGAAUCAUACCGAUUUGAAGAAACAGUACUUCCCAAAUUCCUUCCAAAAGUUCAGAGACCCACCAAAGUCUGGUGGACCACUGCCACCAGUCGACCUGAUCUGAGAUGUAAGGUGGGGCCCAGGAGUCCCACAGAUGCAGGGUGCAGUAAGGCCAGGACCCAGCCUCGAUGGCCAUCGCCCGUUGUCAAGCUAUAAACAGGAGAAUAUCUAAAGCAAAGCUGAAAGUGCACAAAGAAUUUUAAGAAACCUGAAGAGCCCCAAAGUAACUAGAAGCGAGACCAUGAGGAGCAGUGAAGGUAAGUAUUCAAAAGUAAAUCAGUGCAUUUUUUAAACAGAGAGACUUAUGAUUUUAUUUUGGCAGAUUUAUGCUCUGGUAGGAAAGAUUGUUGCAAAAAGUAUUUCAGGUGAUAUAAAAGAUUUGAG
rnacentral:lncRNA from 1 species